rnacentral:rRNA from 1 species
CAGUAACGGCGAGUGAAGCGGCAACAGCUCAAAUUUGAAAUCUGGCUCCUUCGGGGUCCGAGUUGUAAUUUGUAGAGAGUGCUUCGGGCGAGACCUCGGUCUAAGUCCAUUGGAACAUGGUGUCAUAGAGGGUGAGAAUCCCGUAUGCGACCGUGGCUCGAGCCCAUGUGAAGCCUCUUCGACGAGUCGAGUUGUUUGGGAAUGCAGCUCAAAACGGGUGGUAAAUUUCAUCUAAAGCUAAAUACUGGCUGGAGACCGAUAGCGCACAAGUAGAGUGAUCGAAAGAUGAAAAGCACUUUGGAAAGAGAGUCAAACAGUACGUGAAAUUGUUGAAAGGGAAGCGCUUGCAACCAGACCUGCCCGUAGGCGAUCAGCCGCUGUUCUCAGCGGUGCACUCGCUCUGCGAUCAGGCCAGCAUCGGUUUCGGCGGUCGGAUAAAGGCCUUGGGAAUGUAGCUUCCCUUCGGGGUAGUCUUAUAGCCCUCGGUGUAAUGCGGCCAGCCGGGACCGAGGACCGCGCUUCGGCUAGGAUGCUGGCGUAAUGGUUGUAAGCGACCCGUCUUGAAACACGGACCAAGGAGUCUAACAUCUAUGCGAGUGUUUGGGUGUCAAACCCAUACGCGGAAUGAAAGUGAACGGAGGUGAGAACCCUUAAGGGCGCAUCAUCGACCGAUCCAGAUGUCUUCGGAUGGAUUUGAGUAUGAGCAUAGCUGUUGGGACCCGAAAGAUGGUGAACUAUGCCUGAAUAGGGUGAAGCCAGAGGAAACUCUGGUGGAGGCUCGCAGCGGUUCUGACGUGCAAAUCGAUCGUCAAAUUUGGGUAUAGGGGCGAAAGACUAAUC